rnacentral:rRNA from 1 species
GAUGAACGCUGGCGGCGUGCCUAAUACAUGCAAAUCGAGCGAACAGAUGAGGAUCUUUCUCCUCUGACGUUAGCGGCUGACGGGUGAGUAACACGUGGAUAACCUACCUAUAAUACUGGGAUAACUUCGGGAAACCGGAUCUAAUACCGGAUAAUAUAUUGAACCGCAUGGUUCAAUAGUGAAAGACGGUUUUGCUGUCACUUAUAGAUGGUUCCGCGCCGCAUUAGCUAGUUGUUAAGGUAACGGCUUACCAAGGCAACGAUGGGUAUCCGACGUGAGAGGGUGAUCGGCCACAAGGGAACUGAGACAAGGACAAGACGCCUACGGGAGGCAGCAGUAGGGAAGAUUACGCAAUGGGCGAAAGCAUGACGGAGCAACGCCGAGGGAGAGAAGAAGGUCUUGGGAUCGUAAAAAUCUGUUAUUAGGGAAGAACAAAUGUGUAAGUAAAUAUGGACGUCUUGACGGUAACUAAUAAGAAAGCAACGGCUAACUACGUG